GACGAACGCUGGCGGCGUGCUUAACACAUGCAAGUCGAGCGGUAAGGCCCUUUCGGGGGUACACGAGCGGCGAACGGGUGAGUAACACGUGGGUGACCUGCCCUUAGCUCUGGGAUAAGCCUGGGAAACUGGGUCUAAUACCGGAUAUGACUCCAUGACGCAUGUUGUGGGGUGGAAAGCCUUGUGCGGCUAGGGAUGGGCCCGCGGCCUAUCAGCUUGUUGGUGGGGUGAUGGCCUACCAAGGCGACGACGGGUAGCCGGCCUGAGAGGGCGACCGGCCACACUGGGACUGAGACACGGCCCAGACUCCUACGGGAGGCAGCAGUGGGGAGUCUUGCGCAAUGGGCGAAAGCCUGACGCAGCGACGCCG
rnacentral:rRNA from 1 species